AAAAAAAUAAGCUAAUUAAAGCUUUUGGAUUCAUACUUCAAAAAUAAAGGUAAUAAUCCUUUUUUUUUUA
rnacentral:tRNA from 1 species